rnacentral:rRNA from 1 species
GACGAACGCUGGCGGCGUGCUUAACACAUGCAAGUCGAACGGAAAGGCCCUGCUUUUGUGGGGUGCUCGAGUGGCGAACGGGUGAGUAACACGUGAGUAAGCUGCACCUGACUUUGGGAUAACUUAAGGACACUGGGGCUCAUAGCAGCAAGGAGCUACUGCCGUAGGGUGGGCGUUGGAUAGUUUCGGCGGUUGGGGAUGGACUAGCGGCUUAUCGGCUUGUUGGUGGGGUAGUGGAAUACCAAGGCUUUGAAGGGUGGCCGGCCUGGGCGGGUCACCGGCCACAUUGGGACUGAGAUACGGCCCAGACUCCAACGGUAGGCAGCGGUGGGGAAGAUUGCACAAUGGGCGGAAGCCAGACGCAGCAACGCCGCGUGCGGGAUGACAGCCUGCGGGUUGUAAACCGCUUUCGCCUUUGACGAGGCGUGAGUGACGGUACUGGGUAAAUAAGCACCGGCUAACUACGUG